CUCACGCUGACUUCUCUCAUCCCCCGCCCCCCUGGACGCGGUGACGCUACUGACGUUAGCCAAUCACGAGACAAGAAGGCAGUCACGCUCAUGGGAACAACCAAUGGUAACAGGGAAGGAAAGGAACCAAAGGGACCCGGCUGGAUUCUCGGAGCACCCAGAGAGCAUUUCGAAGCCUAACGUGGGCGGGGCGACAGAGAGGAGGCCGAGUGACGCGGAGGACGACGGGAAAAGGGCGCCUGCGCCGCGUUUAUGACGUAUUCGGCAGCGGCUUUAAGGCAAAAUCGCUUUGGUUAGUCUCUCUGGAAUCCAAAUCGGCUGCUGUUCUCCCUGUGGAAACACACAAACAGAACUCCGACUCCAGACAAUCACUGGGUCAGGACCUUUCCAUUGUCCUAUUAGAAUAUCCAUCCAAAGUACCUUAGGCUUAUGUACAUUUUUUGGAUACAUAUGCCUUUUUGCAGCACUAAGCCCUGAUGAAUCCAAAUUUAAAAAGUUUAGAGUAAAAAGUGUUAUUUUAAGUUUGUCUUUGGGGGAUAUAUACCCCUUUCCAAUUCCCUCUUUUUGCUUUAAUAAGUACAUUUUAAUAGUUUGAUGAGCUCUUUCAACUAUGCCUUGUUCCUGUGGAUUGUAUGGGAUUCCUGUUAUAUAAGUAAUGCCAAAUAAUGAGCAAAAUUGUUUAAAAGAGGUAGAAGUAUAACCAGGACCAUUAUCUGUUUUUAACUGUUUUGGAACGCCCACAGUGGCAAAAUUUUGUAAGCAAUGAGCUAUAAUAUCUUUAGUUUUUUUCUCUGGCAUGAAGGGAACCCAUUAAAAAUCCGGAAGAAGUAUCAACUGUAACAUGCAAAUAUUUUAAUUUUCCAAAUUCUGGCAAGUGUGUGACGUCCAUCUGCCAAAUAUGGUUAGGUAUCAGUCCUCUAGGAUUGACUCCAAGAUUAACUUGUGGUAAAAAGGUCACACAAUUUUGACAUUGUUUUAUUAUUUGUCUAGCUUGUUCCUUAGUUAUUUUAAAAUGCUUUUGUAAAGUAUUAGCAUUGACAUGGAACCUUUUAUGAAAAAUUAUAGCUUCUUCUAUUGUAGAGAAAAUAUGUAUGUCAUGUGUAGUUUUAUCUGCUAAAUCAUUGCCCAAACUAAGGGCUCCAGGCAAUCCUGUAUGUGCCCUGAUAUGUCCUAUAAAAAAUGGAUCUUUUCUGUCCCAGAUUAGACUUUGUAUAGUGGAAAACAAAGAGAAAACAGUAGAGGAAGGGGAAAUCCUACCAGCAUCUUCAAUAGCAUUAACUAUAUACUGACUAUCAGAAAAUAAAUUAAAUACAGAAUCUUUAAACAUCACAAAAGCUUGUAAUACUGCAUUAAGCUCUACAUUUUGAGCUGAUUGUUUGGGUACUAAAAAUGUAAAAGUUUGAUCAGGUGUAACUACUGCUGCUGUACCAUUAUUUGACCCAUCAGUGAAUAUAUUUGGAGCAUUCAUGAUAGGUGUUUUUCUUGUCAUUUUUGGAAAAACUACAGGAUGCGAUGACCAAAAAGACAACAAAGGAUUAGAUGGUAAGUGAUUAUCAAAUGAAACAUUAGAUUUACACAUGAUUAUUGCCCAAGUAUUUAACUCAUUAGCUAACUCAUCAAUUUGAUCCAUAGUAUAUGGAGUAAUAAUUUUAUUGGGAGAAAUUCCAAACACUCCCUUUGCUGCUUUUAUUCCUUUGAGUAUCAAUUGUCCUACAGCCUCAGGAUACCUAGUAAGAAUAGUAUUAGGAGAAUAAGAUAAAUGUAUCCAUAAUAAUGAACCUUCUUGCCAAAAUACUCCUGUAGGAAUAUUUUUUGUUGGUAGUACAAUAAAUAAUAAAGGCAAACUUAUAUCAAUUCUAUCCAAAUGCAUAUUUUCCAUAUAUGUUUCAAUGAUUUUUAAUGCCUUUCUUGCUUCAGGUGUUAACAUUUGGGGUGAAUUUGGAUCUGAUGGACCUUUUAGGAUAUCAAAUAAAGGUCCCAACUCUCCUGUUGGUAUGCCUAGAUAAGGCCUUAUCCAAUUUAUGUCUCCUAAUAACUUUUGAAAGUCGUUAAGUGAUUUGAGUUGAUCUAUUCGUAUUUGAAUUUUUGGUGGACGGACCAUGGUUGAGGAUAAUAGAACUCCUAAAUAAUUAAUUGGAAAAUUUAAUUGUACUUUAUCUAUUGCUAUCUCUACAUUGUAAUUUUUUUAAUAAAUUUGUAAGUGUGGCAUAACAUUCUAGCAAUGUGCUUUUAUCUUUAUGUGCUAAUAAUACAUCAUCCAUAUAGUAAAAUAUUUGUAGUUCAGGAUUUUGAUUUCUAAGUGGCUGGAUUGCUUUGUUAACAUAAAUUUGACACAUAGUUGGGCUGUUAGCCAUCCCUUGAGGGAGUACUUUCCAUUCAUAUCUCUGAUCAGGACCUUCAUGAUUCAGUGCAGGGAUAGUAAAUGCAAAACUUGGACUAUCCUCAGGAUGAAUUUGAAUUGAAAAAAAAAACAAUCUUUAAUAUCUAUAGCUAAAACAUGCCAGGUUUUUGGCAAAGCAGACAAUUGAGGAACCCCUGAUUGAGCAGGUCCCAUAAUAACCAUCUCAUUAUUAAUGGCUCUUAAAUCUUGCAAUAAUCUCCAUUUAUCAGAUUUCUUUUUAAUGACAAAAAUGGGAGUAUUAUAGGGAGAUAUGGAAGGUUGUAUAUGUCCCUCUGCUAAUUGUUGUUUGACCAGGUCAUUGGCUACUUGUAUAUUUUCUUUAGUCAGGGGUUACUGAGGAACCCAUACUGGUCUUUCUGAUUUCCAAGUAAUUUUUAUUGUAUCAGUGACCCUUUCUGAAAACCCCAUCCAUGUCUAUCUAUUCCUUGAUCUAUUUGAAUUGGUGCUGCUAUACCUUGUUCUUGUUCUCCUAAUCUUUUUUCUUUCCUAAAACCUUGUCUAGCCCUAAUAGUGGGCACAUUUGGAUUGAUGUUAUUUGUUAAUGUCAAACCUAAUUGAUCUAGGAUAUCUCGUCCCCAUAAAUUUAUAGGAA